rnacentral:tRNA from 1 species
GGGGGCAUAGCUCAGCUGGGAGAGCGCUUGCCUUACAAGCAAGAUGUCGGCGGUUCGAGCCCGUCUGCCCCCACCA